rnacentral:rRNA from 1 species
AGAGUUGAUCCUGGCUCAGAGUGAACGCUGGCGGCGUGCUUAACACAUGCAAGUCGCACGAGAACGCUUCAGCUUGCUGAAGCUAGUAAAGUGGCGCACGGGUGAGUAACGCGUGGGUAAUCUACCUCCAAAUUGGGGAUAACAUAGCGAAAGCGAUGCUAAUACCGAAUGAUAUCUCAAAAACUUCGGUUUUUGAGAUCAAAGGUGGCCGCUCCAUGGAAGCUACUGUUAGGAGAUGAGCCCGCGUACCAUUAGCUUGUUGGUAGGGUAAUGGCCUACCAAGGCAACGAUGGUUAGCUGGUCUGAGAGGAUGAUCAGCCACACUGGAACUGACACACGGUCCAGACUCCUACGGGAGGCAGCAGUGAGGAAUUUUGCGCAAUGGGGGAAACCCUGACGCAGCAACGCCGCGUGAGUGAUGAAGGCCUUCGGGUCGUAAAGCUCUGUCAAGUGGGAAGAACCUGCCCUGUGCUAAUAUCACCGGGCACUGACGGUACCACUGAAGGAAGCACCGGCUAACUCCGUGCCAGCAGCCGCGGUAACACGGGGGGUGCAAGCGUUAUUCGGAAUCACUGGGCGUAAAGAGCGCGUAGGCGGUCUCUUAAGUCAGAUGUGAAAGCCCGGGGCUCACCCCGGAAGUGCAUUUGAAACGAAGGGACUUGAGUAUGGGAGAGGGAAGUGGAAUUCCUGGUGUAGCGGUGAAUGCGUAGAUAUCAGAGGACACCGGUGGCGAUGGCGACUUCCUGGACAAUACUGACGCUGAGCGCGAAGCGUGGGAGCAACAGGAUAGAUACCUGU